UCGGGCACGUUUCGGCUGCUCCGCCGCCUCCUGGCUUUGAAUUUCGCGUAAAUUGCCGUGAGGCAAAAAAACAAGAAGAUAAGAAAAGCGGUGCGACCUCAUGGGUCGGAUCAAGGACCACCCCGUACACUUCGAGCCUGUUGCAGCCUCCGACGCCAAGUAGACGGGAUCGCACGGAGACACGAGGCGCUUUCUUUAAGAGAAUUAACAAAAAAAAACCUUCAAUUUUUUUUUUACGGAGAAGUCCCCCCCCCACUCGCCCCCCUUCCCUCUGUUCCUGCUCUCCUCCGCCUCCAUCCAAGUCGCGGCGUGGAGCGGGUCAGGAGAGCGACCGACGGAGAGGAGCCGCCAACCGGAGGAGUCAGCGCUAAAUACCCACCGAUCUCUAUUUUGAUUCUUUUUUUAAAAUUA